rnacentral:tRNA from 1 species
GGGCGGUUAGCUCAGCGGGAGAGCAUUCGCUUCACACGCGAAGGGUCACUGGUUCGAUCCCAGUACUGCCCACCA